rnacentral:rRNA from 1 species
GAUGAACGCUAGCGGCAGGCUUAAUACAUGCAAGUCAAGGGGGUAGCAAUACAACCGGCGCACGGGUGAGUAACGCGUACACAACAUGCCAUAUACUGGAGUAUAGCUUUGGGAAACUGAAGGUAAUCCUCCAUAAUAUUACGGAUAGGCAUCUAUUUGUAAUUAAAGUUUCGACGGUAUAUGAUUGGUGUGCGUUUGAUUAGCUAGUUGGUAGGUAACGGCCUACCAAGGCUACGAUCAAUAGCUGGCGUGAGAGCGCGACCAGCCACACUGGAACUGAGACACGGUCCAGACUCCUACGGGAGGCAGCAGUAGGGAAUAUUGGACAAUGGGCGAAAGCCUGAUCCAGCCAUGCCGCGUGAUAGAUGAAGGCCC